CAUCCAGACUCCUACGGGAGGCAGCAGUGGGGAAUAUUGCACAAUGGGGGAAACCCUGAUGCAGCGACGCCGCGUGAGCGAUGAAGUAUUUCGGUAUGUAAAGCUCUAUCAGCAGGGAAGAAAAUGACGGUACCUGAAGAAGAAGCCCCGGCUAACUACGUGCCAGCAGCCGCGGUAAUACGUAGGGGGCAAGCGUUAUCCGGAUUUACUGGGUGUAAAGGGGGCGCAGACGGCAGCGCAAGCCAGGAGUGAAAGCCCGGGGCCCAACCCCGGGACUGCCCUUGGAACUGCAUGGCUGGAGUGCGGGAGGGGCAGGCGGAAUUCCUGGUGUAGCGGUGAAAUGCGUAGAUAUCAGGAGGAACACCGGCGGCGAAGGCGGCCUGCUGGACUGCGACUGACGUUGAGGCUCGAAAGCGUGGGGAGCGAACAGGAUUAGAUACCCUGGUACG
rnacentral:rRNA from 1 species